AAUAUCAUUCUGAGGAGCUACAGU
rnacentral:piRNA from 1 species